rnacentral:tRNA from 1 species
GCGCCCGUAGCUCAGGGGACAGAGUGUUGGGUUGCGGACCCAAAGGUCGGAGGUUCAAAUCCUCCCGGGCGUACCA